CAUGUGGUUAAUUCGAUGCAACGCGAAGAACCUUACCUGGCUUGACAUCCCGAGAAUCUACCUGGAACAGGAGAGUGCCUUCGGGGAACUCGGUGACAGGUGCUGCAUGGCUGUCGUCAGCUCGUGUCGUGAGAUGUUGGGUUAAGUCCCGCAACGAGCGCAACCCUUGUCUUUAAUUACCAGCAUUCAGUUGGGUACUUUAAAGAGACUGCCGGUGUUAAGCCGGAGGAAGUGGGGAUGACGUCAAGUCCUCAUGGCCUUUAUGCCCAGGGCUACACACGUGCUACAAUGGGUGGUACAAAGAGCAGCGACCUCGCGAGAGUAAGCAAAUCUCAAAAAGCCAUCCUCAGUUCGGAUUGAGGUCUGCAACCCGACUCCGUGAAGCUGGAUUCGCUAGUAAUCGCGCAUCAGCCAUGGCGCGGUCGAAUACGUUCCCGGGCCUU
rnacentral:rRNA from 1 species